UAAAUUUAAUAUUUUAAUAUUGUUUAAGACAUCCUCUUUCUAUUGUGCAGUGGAGGUGCUCUUAAGUGUUCUUACCAAUAGAAUAUGCUCUAAAAUAUUACAUAAAUAAUAAUUUUCUCAACUAUUUUAUUUAUUUAUUUUUGUUAACAACUUUAUUAGAUUACUAAAACAAGCUAGUUUUGGAGAAUAUUAUUUACAUAAGUUAUAAUAUGCGGUUGAUUACGAACAGUUCAUGCCAAUUUAUCCACUUUUAUAUUCGCAUUACAAGACACCAAAAAUAAAGAAAAAUUAUAAAACUCAUAGUUGUCACCCUAAAUCGCUUCAAGGUAUGUUAAGAAGGCUGGCCACUUUGUCGGAGAAGACACUAUCUUAACCAGAUCUGACCAAUCUAUUCAAACGUUACCUUUCGCUUCUUUUGGCUAACAGAGUGUUUCUUUAGGUAUAUCAAUCAAGUUUUAGCUACUUCAAAGUAACUACGAAGUCCCUAAAAAUUUUCACAGCCCAAACCUUUUUUCCUACGUUUGUAUAUGUUCUUUGAAAAAAAAUAUUCCUCCAUGGUUUCGAAUAGUGCAAGCGAAUCAAGCGGUACGGAGCAGGCAAAUCAAGCAGUUCAUGCAGUCAACUGUGGAUCAAGCGUAUUAGGCGGAUCAAGUUAAAAAAGUGCGGAUCAAGCAGUUAAAAAUCUAUGUUGAGUGGUGAAAUAAUAGAAAAGCGGUUUAAGUAGUAAAAAUAAUUACAAAAUAUUGAAAGUUAAUAUUUUAAAUAAAAUAAAAAUAGAUUAAAGAAUAUACGUUGGUUUCUUCGGACAAAGAAAGAACCCUUGAAAGUUCUCUAAAAUCCGCUGGAAGAAAAAAAUGAAAUGUUAAGAGUACCAACCAUGGGGAAAAAAGUGACCUUUUUAGAUCUUGAAAGCGAAAAAAAAUAAAAGGAUUAAAACCUAUAGCUACUAGGUCUUAAGCUUCUCACCUUGAUAUACGGUGGUUGCUUCGGAGAAAGAGCCCUGGAAAGCUCUCCAAAGUCCUUUGGACGACAAUAGGAAAGCUAGAGAAAUGUGAGAGUGACUACUGCAAACUUGAAGGAGAAGAAUGGGCCGGAAAUAACGAUAAUACCCUUGAUCUUUACAAUCCUUAUCUUGUUUUAGAAGUCUUAUAACACGUGGACAAAGAGAAGCAUAGAAAAAACACUACUUACAACUAUAUAUUUAAUUAAAUACACUAAAAAUACUAAACCCUAUAUUUCUAAAGUUACGUUCUUUCUAUUUUCACGUAUUUGUUUUUUGUUUUUUUCCUUUCCUCAAUUGUUAAAAGCAUCUUAAUAUACAAUUUUUUUCUCUAUGUCUUAUGCAUAAAUAUGUUAAAUUCUAAAAUUAGUUUUUGUCAUGACACCAGUUUAAUUUAUUAUACUUCUAAACUUAAAUCUAAAAUUAAUACUAGAUUUUAACAUGUUUUGUUUAGGAGAAAAAGGAAGAAAGAAAGACUAAUAGUAUGAGUGGAAAAUUUUCUUUUUAAAACUGAAAGUUAUUUUAAUAUAUA
rnacentral:sRNA from 1 species